AGGCAGUGACGAUAAACACAGUCAUGCACCACUCUGAUUCAAUCAGUGCUGACAAUUGACAUAUAACCCAUAUUUAUCUGAGCCU